AUUUAGCCCCGAUUGAAGCAUUUGUUUGAGCUCCUCGUAGAGAGCGAGUGCGGAAAGCGGGAAACAGC
rnacentral:sRNA from 1 species